AACUUUCAACAACGGAUCUCUUGGCUCUGGCAUCGAUGAAGAACGCAGCGAAAUGCGAUAAGUAAUGUGAAUUGCAGAAUUCAGUGAAUCAUCGAAUCUUUGAACGCACAUUGCGCCCCUUGGUAUUCCGAGGGGCAUGCCUAUUCGAGCGUC
rnacentral:rRNA from 1 species